rnacentral:rRNA from 1 species
GACGAACGCUGGCGGCGUGCCUAAUACAUGCAAGUAGAACGCUGAAGGAGGAGCUUGCUUCUCUGGAUGAGUUGCGAACGGGUGAGUAACGCGUAGGUAACCUGCCUGGUAGCGGGGGAUAACUAUUGGAAACGAUAGCUAAUACCGCAUAAUAGUAGAUGUUGCAUGACAUUUGCUUAAAAGGUGCAAUUGCAUCACUACCAGAUGGACCUUCGUUGUAUUAGCUGGUUGGUGGGGUAACGGCUCACCAAGGCGACGAUACAUAGCCGACCUGGGAGGGUGAUCGGCCAAACUGGGACUGAGACAAGGCCCCGACCCCUACGGGAGGCCGCAGUAGGGAAUCUUCGGCAAUGGACGGAAGUCUGACCGAGCAAAGCCGCGUGAGUGAAGAAGGUUUUCGGAUCGUAAAGAUCUGUUGUAAGAGAAGAACGAGUGUGAGAGUGGAAAGUUCACACUGUGACGGUAUCUUACCAGAAAGGGACGGCUAACUACGUG